UACGUAGGAGACGAGCGUUGUCCGGAUUUAUUGGGCGUAAAGGGUGCGCAGGUGGCGGCGCGCGUGGGGGGUGAAAUCGCCCGGCUUAACUGGGCGGGGGCCUUCCAGACGGCGUGGCUUGAGCAGCGGAGGGGGACGUGGAAUUCCGGGUGGAGCGGUGAAAUGCGUAGAGAUCCGGAGGAACACCGACGGCGCAGGCAGCGUCCUGGCCGAUUGCUGACACUGAGGCACGAAAGCUGGGGGAGCAAACAGG
rnacentral:rRNA from 1 species